UCCAAAGGGAUCGCAUUGAUCCUUUACAAGGUGAAAGCAAUCUAUAUAUAUAUAUGUGUGUGUGUGUAUAUAAGUCUGUCUCCUGUAUAUAUAGAGUUUAGGAUCAUGCUAUCCCUUUGGAUU
rnacentral:pre_miRNA from 1 species